UGCUCACGUCACGGAUCCUUUCGGGCGGUAAAGUUUGUGUGUCCGUAGGUCCGUAAAGUUACAAAUUGUGUUGUAAGGGUCGUAUGUAUUUCGAUCUUUCACAUUGUGAUGAAUUUGACAGAAUAUUUCUUUACGGGAAUAUUGAUAAAUCUAAGCCGAUUUGUGCUGAGAGGAGGUGAACCAAAGUAGUGCGCUUAGACCAGCUUAGACCCAUCAUGUGUUAUUUAAGAAGAGUGUACAUUCUACACAUUGUAAAAGAAGAGGGAAAUAUGAUAAGACACAACUGACAAACUAUUGUUAAUAGUGUAUGAACAACAGCUGUCUUUAUUAAAGUGACCAAAUAAUGUGGAAAUGAUAUACUUACAGGAUGACAAAAAUAUGACAGAUCCAGGUUAGGCAGUUGGUAUAAAACAAAGAAGAGAAAACUGGAUGAACUAGAGAUUAGGAAGCAAGAAAUGGGGUCAGCUAUAUAAGAACUUGCAUGUACAGUAAAGUAAGUCCAUUUUUAUUGAGGAACUAUGCAACAUUAACAGUUGGGAAAAGCGUAUUAUUCGAAUUAAGAGGGUUAACACAGUUUGAGAUAAAGCAAGUUAUGCACAAAUUGCAUAAAUAUAAAUGAUAUUUAGAUCAUUACACACAUGACUAUACUUUGGAUCACAGUUUAGAACAAGUAUAACUUCAAUAUGUUGCUUAUGAAAUGUCUUACUAUGGGCAUGCUGCUUGAAGGACAUGCCCAAAGCUGUCAGACAGGGUAUUCACAAUAUUACAGUCCCAUGAAAGGGUAUUACCGUGGUUUUAAGCAGUAGGAGUGGAACAGCCUCCCAUGUGAGUAGAGUUUCCA